rnacentral:tRNA from 1 species
GGUGGUUCGGUGGUAGAGCACUUGCCUUGCAUGCAGGAGGCCCUGGGUUCGAUUCCUUAGCACCA